ACCAUGGGUAACUUGCAGGUAACCAAGAAUAGUUGAUGUCGUGUGAGGUUUCCCUCUCGUGUGUCUUAGGUGCUCUGAUACGUAACGGGAUGAGAUUUUGUUGUGGCUAUUUUCUAUUCCUUUACGUAUCGCUUAUGUUUUUACAUGACUAUGAUUUAAUUUGGAUUUUUAAGGGAUGUUUUAAUGAGGCCUUCGUGCCAAAGACUAUUUUAGAUGUUGAAUAAAUUCCGCUGCGAAGUAUUAAAUAUUAUGUUAUUGAUUUAUGAAGGAUAAAUAGUUAUUUAUUCC
rnacentral:lncRNA from 1 species